AGGGCUUGUGUGUGGGAGCUGGAGCGAUGGGGAAGGUCCAAUGCCAGCGGAUUGGAUGCGACGCGCUCUUCUCUCCCGAUCAAAACGACGAUGAGAACGCUUGCUGCUACCAUCCCGGCCCGCCCCUGUUUCACGACGGUGGGAAACAAUGGAGCUGCUGCAAACAGCAGAGUCACGAUUUUAGCUUGUUCUUAAGCAUUCCAGGCUGUACGCACGGAAAGCACACAUCAGAGAAACCAAAACCAGCUCCCAAGUCAAGCAAAACUGUACCACAGGGAGACGCCAGUAACACCAAUUGCUUGAGAUGCAAACAAGGUUUCUACUGUUCAGAUCACGGCUCAAAGAUAUCGUGUGGACCAGUGGCAGCCCCCAGCAAAGACGUGGAAAAACCAGCUGCGAAAGAAGCUUCGCAAUCAUCGGUGCAAGCAGCCCCGGCGGCCCUCUCCAACGUGAUUGACUUGGAUGCAAAGCGGACGUGCAGGAAUAAAGGCUGCGGAAAGGCAUUCACCGAGCGAGAGAACCAUGAAACUGCUUGCAGUUAUCAUCCGGGCCCAGCUGUUUUUCACGACAGAUCGAGAGGAUGGGCCUGCUGUGAUGUUCAUGUGAAGGAGUUUGACGAGUUCCUGGAGAUCCCGCCGUGCUCGAAAGGCUGGCACAGCAGCCAAUAGCUAAAAAACGAGAUGUACAUGCGCAGGAAUGCUUCGCGAUGGCUCUGGCUUGUACGUGUAUACGGCGUAAAACAAGCCGUCGUUUAGUCCACUCUUUGUUGUUUCUUUUGCUCACGUUUUUUCCAAGUCUCGAUUGUGU